UACGGAGGGUGCAAGCGUUUGUCCGGAUUCAUUGGGUUUAAAGGGUGCGCAGGCGGGACAUUAAGUCAGGGGUGAAAGACGGUUGCUCAACAAUCGCAGUGCCUUUGAUACUGGUGUUCUUGGGUAACCUUGAGGUAGGCGGAAUGGGUGGUGUAGCGGUGAAAUGCAUAGAUACCACCCAGAACUCCGAUUGCGAAGGCAGCCUACUGGAGGUCAACCGACGCUCAGGCACGAAAGCGUGGGGAUCAAACAGG
rnacentral:rRNA from 1 species